AGUGAACGCUGGCGGUAGGCCUAACACAUGCAAGUCGAACGGCAGCACAGUAAGAGCUUGCUCUUACGGGUGGCGAGUGGCGGACGGGUGAGGAAUACAUCGGAAUCUACUUUUUCGUGGGGGAUAACGUAGGGAAACUUAUGCUAAUACCGCAUACGACCUACGGGUGAAAGCAGGGGAUCUUCGGACCUUGCGCGAUUGAAUGAGCCGAUGUCGGAUUAGCUAGUUGGCGGGGUAAAGGCCCACCAAGGCGACGAUCCGUAGCUGGUCUGAGAGGAUGAUCAGCCACACUGGAACUGAGACACGGUCCAGACUCCUACGGGAGGCAGCAGUGGGGAAUAUUGGACAAUGGGCGCAAGCCUGAUCCAGCCAUACCGCGUGGGUGAAGAAGACCUUCGGGUUGUAAAGCCCUUUUGUUGGGAAAGAAAAGCAGCAGGUUAAUACCCCGCUGUUCUGACGGUACCCAAAGAAUAAGCACCGGCUAACUUCGUG
rnacentral:rRNA from 1 species